rnacentral:rRNA from 1 species
AUUGAACGCUGGCGGCAGGCCUAACACAUGCAAGUCGAACGAGUGGCGGACGGGUGAGUAAUGUAUGGGAAACUGCCCGAUAGAGGGGGAUAACUACUGGAAACGGUAGCUAAUACCGCAUACCAUCGGAUGUGCCCAUAUGGGAUUAGCUAGUAGGUGGGGUAACGGCUCACCUAGGCGACGAUCUCUAGCUGGUCUGAGAGGAUGACCAGCCACACUGGGACUGAGACACGGCCCAGACUCCUACGGGAGGCAGCAGUGGGGAAUAUUGCACAAUGGGCGCAAGCCUGAUGCAGCCAUGCCGCGUGUAUGAAGAAGGCCUUAGGGUUGUAAAGUACUUUCAGCGGGGAGGCGUUACCCGCAGAAGAAGCACCGGCUAACUCCGUGCCAGCAGCCGCGGUAAUAC